rnacentral:rRNA from 1 species
UACGUAGGGUGCAAGCGUUGUCCGGAAUUAUUGGGCGUAAAGAGCUCGUAGGCGGUUUGUUGCGUCGGCUGUGAAAUCCCGAGGCUCAACCUCGGGUCUGCAGUCGAUACGGGCGGACUGGAGUUCGGCAGGGGAGACUGGAAUUCCUGGUGUAGCGGUGAAAUGCGCAGAUAUCAGGAGGAACACCGGUGGCGAAGGCGGGUCUCUGGGCCGAUACUGACGCUGAGGAGCGAAAGCGUGGGGAGCGAACAGG